AAGUCCUGUUUAUCAUGAUGAUGUUUCUUAGAGCAUAUCUAACACGUACAACACUUACAGUCUCAUAAAAUAUGUGUUUGGUUAGCUAAGAAAACAAAAUCCAGAGAAAAACGUAGUUUGUCUUUUCUAUAAUAUCAUUGCAUCCGGAGCACACAGGCGAGGUAUAGGAGGUUUAGGCUCAGUUGCCAUAUCAUUCUGAAGGAAUUCAAAGUCCUACCUCCUGGAAAUAUAACAUUCUCAUACAGCUCAGGCUGUACUCAUUUCUAAACUCAAGAAUAUGACACCACAGAGCUCAGACCAAAAAGAGCUUGCAUAAGCAGCAAGAUCUCAGCACUCAUAAAAAAAAAGUAGGGUUUGGUUCUGAGCCCAAAUUAGGAUACAUUUCUCAAGUGAGCUCCUAUUUUCCCAGCUGAAGCUAGGUUGUGUGAUUUUGUUGUUGUUGUUAGUUUUUUUGUUUGUUUGUUUGUUUUGUUUUGUUUUUUCCUGCUCUGUUAAAGUGCAAUUAGUUUAAUUUUAAACCACAGUGGUUUCAGCAGAGAAGCCACAACAAUAGUUGCCCUUCCCACCAGAGUUAUUGCUGCAAAUAUGACUUUGUUCUAGUGGCAGAAAGACAAACAGGUUUCAGCUGCAGAAAAGAGAAAAUUAGAAGCACAGCUACAGGGAGGUCUCUCCUGAGAGGCAAGAGGACUCAUCUCUGUUGCCACUGCCCAGAUGAUACAGAAAUCUGUGAGAAAGAGAACCAAAUUGCUGCAAAUUCUCCAUAAGAAAAUGCACGGAAACAAAAAACUGUUGGACAUGCUGCAUAUUUCUGUGCUCUGGAGAAAAAUGUCCCCCAUUAAUGAGUCUUUCAGUGUGAUUGGUAGAGUGGGAUCUUCGUUUUGAAUGACCCUUUGUGGCAAGGGUUUGGUAGCAGGGGGGUACUCUGUGAGCAGAGCCCAGCAGCUGCCCUAUGUCAGAUCAGAGCCUGCUCCAGCUGGCUCCAACAGGACCGGCUGCUGGCCA
rnacentral:lncRNA from 1 species